rnacentral:rRNA from 1 species
GCAGCAGUGGGGAAUCUUGCGCAAUGGGCGAAAGCCUGACGCAGCCAUGCCGCGUGAAUGAUGAAGGUCUUAGGAUUGUAAAAUUCUUUCACCGGGGACGAUAAUGACGGUACCCGGAGAAGAAGCCCCGGCUAACUUCGUGCCAGCAGCCGCGGUAAUACGAAGGGGGCUAGCGUUGCUCGGAAUUACUGGGCGUAAAGGGAGCGUAGGCGGACUGUUUAGUCAGAGGUGAAAGCCCAGGGCUCAACCUUGGAAUUGCCUUUGAUACUGGCAGUCUUGAGUACNGAAGAGGUAUGUGGAACUCCGAGUGUAGAGGUGAAAUUCGUAGAUAUUCGGAAGAACACCAGUGGCGAAGGCGACAUACUGGUCCGUUACUGACGCUGAGGCUCGAAAGCGUGNGGAGCAAACAGGAUUAGAUACCCUGGUANUCCACGCCGNAAACGAUGAGUGCUANUUGUCNGCAUGCAUGCAUGUCGGUUGACNCANCUAACGCCAUUAAGCACUCCGCCUUGUGGGAGUACGGUCGCNAGNAUUAAAACUCANAGGAAUUGACGG